UCGUGAACGCUAUAUGAUUAAUAAAGUUGUAGACAAAGAUAAUUCGCACCUAGCUAUGCAGUUGGAGGUUGUAGGUGGCGGUAUAUCCAUGGUGAAAGAU